GAUGAACGCUGGCGGCAGGCUUAACACAUGCAAGUCGAGCGGCCGUAGCAAUACGGCAGCGGCAGACGGGAUAGUAACACGUGGGAACGCGCCCUUCGGUUCGGAAUAACUCAGGGAAACUUGAGCUAAUACCGGAUACGCCCUUACGGGGAAAGAUUUAUUGCCGAAGGAACGGCCCGCGUCCGAUUAGCUAGUUGGUGAGGUAAUGGCUCACCAAGGCAACGAUCGGUAGCUGGUCNGAGAGGAUGACCAGCAUCACUGGGACUGAGACACGGCCCAGACUCCUACGGGAGGCAGCAGUGGGGAAUUUUGCGCAAUGGGGGAAACCCUGACGCAGCAAUGCCGCGUGGAGGAUGAAGUCCUUUGGGAUGUAAACUCCUUUCGAUC
rnacentral:rRNA from 1 species